rnacentral:tRNA from 1 species
GCACUGGUAGCUCAGCUGGAUAGAGCAACCGCCUUCUAAGCGGUAGGUCGCAGGUUCGAGUCCUGCUCGGUGCGCCA